rnacentral:rRNA from 1 species
CCUACGGGAGGCAGCAGUGAGGAAUAUUGGUCAAUGGGCUUACGCCUGAACCAGCCAAGUCGCGUGAGGGAAGACUGCCCUAUGGGUUGUAAACCUCUUUUGUCAGGGAGCAAUUGGCGCUACGUGUAGCGUUAUCGAGAGUACCUGAAGAAAAAGCAUCGGCUAACUCCGUGCCAGCAGCCGCGGUAAUACGGAGGAUGCGAGCGUUAUCCGGAUUGAUUGGGUUUAAAGGGUGCGUAGGCGGAAUGCCAAGUCAGCGGUAAAAUCGCGGGGCUCAACCUCGCUCCGCCGUUGAAACUGGCGUUCUUGAGUGGGCGAGAAGUAUGUGGAAUGCGUGGUGUAGCGGUGAAAUGCAUAGAGAUCACGCAGAACUCCGAUUGCGAAGGCAGCAUACCGGCGCCCAACUGACGCUGAAGCACGAAAGCGUGGGUAUCGAACAGGAUUAGAUACCCGGGUAGUC